UUCUCACUUGUGGGGGGAAGGAGUGUAUUUAUUAGAUUAAAAACCAUUCACCUUCGGGUGUAAAUGAGAUGAUUCAUAAUAACUAAACGAAUCGCGGACCAAAGUCUGUGAUGAUACAAACGAGUUUCUGACCUAUCAACUUUAGAUGGCAAAGUAGGGGUUUGCCAUGGUGACAACGGGUAACGGAGAAUUAGGGUUCGAUUCCGGAGAGGGAGCCUGAGAAAUGGCUACCACUUCCAAGGAAGGCAGCAGGCGCGCAAAUUACCCAAUACCGAUUCGGUGAGGUAGUGACAAAAAAUACCAAUGUAGGACCCAACGGGUACUACGUUUGGAAUGAGUACAAUUUAAAAACCUUAACGAGGAACAAUUGGAGGGCAAGUCUGGUGCCAGCAGCCGCGGUAAUUCCAGCUCCAAUAGUGUAUAUUAAAGUUGCUGCGGUUAAAAAGCUCGUAGUUGGAUUUCGGAGUUGUUUUCUAGGUUAUUUUGUUGGGGGAGGUCUGGCGGUGACGCUAGCAUCUUCUCCUUCAGAAAUACUUAGUUUACUACUGUCUUCAUUUUAGUCCAUCAUGACUUCAUGGUGUGAAUGUUGGUGUUGACCUCUUUCUUUUGGUAACAUGGUGGUGGUCUUUCGGGACUGUCACAUUUUUACAUGUUCCAAAUUGUUUACUUUGAAAAAAUUAGAGUGUUCAAAGCAGGCCUAAUAGGCACAUGUAUACUUUAGCAUGGGAUAAUAUAAUAUGACUUUUGGUCUUAUUUUGUUUGGUUUCUAAGACCGAGGUAAUGAUUGAAAGGGAUAGUUGGGGUUGCUCGUAUUGAGUGGUUAGAGGUGAAAUUCUAGGAUUCACUCAAGACGAACUAAUGCGAAAGCAUUCAACAAGGAUGUUUUCAUUAAUCAAGAACGAAAGUUGAGGGAUCGAAGAUGAUCAGAUACCGUCGUAGUCUCAACUAUAAACUAUGUCAACCGAGGAUCCGGUAGUGUUACAUGGAUGACCUUCCGGGCACUCUCCGAGAAAUCACAAGUAUUUGGAUUUCGGGGGGAGUAUGGUCGCAAGGCUGAAACUUAAAGGGAUUGACGGAAGGGCACCACCAGGAGUGGAAUCUGCGGCUUAAUUUGACCCAACACGGGAAAACUUACCAGGUCCGGACACAGCAAGGAUUGACAGAUUGAGAGCUCUUUCUUGAUUCUGUGAAUGGUGGUGCAUGGCCGUUUUUAGUUGGUGGAGUGAUUUGUCUGGUUAAUUCCGUUAACGAACGAGACCUUAACCUAUUAAAUAGUAAUACGAAUUCAGGUCUUUUAACUUGUUCUCUCUUCACGGGGAGGAUGGGUAUCACUUUAUUACAUUAGUGGUGGUGACACUGCUAGUGUGGUUUUGUGAUAAGGC
rnacentral:rRNA from 1 species